UUUUCGUAAUAUGUAUUUUUUCGGUGGCUGCGAAAUUCAAUCAUUUUUUAAAGAAAAAAAAAAAAACGAGUUUCUCUCUGAUCCCAAUUCCCAACAGAAAAAACAAACUCCUUCCCCAAAUUCCCCAAACCCUAGAGAGAGAAAACAGUGGAAAAGAAUCUAGUUUCUAGGGAGAGAAAGCAGCUGUAGACACAGUCAGAGAGAGAGAGAGAGAGAGAGAGAGAGAGUGUAUGUAUAUGCAUAUGUAUAUGUGUGUGUGAAAGAGAGAGAGAGAGAAUCUCUGAGGAGCCCUAAGAAAUUGGCGAUGGCGUCGUCGAAGGUGAUGGCGUCGUCCAAUUCGCGAAAUUCGGAUCUAGCGAGACGUUCUUCUUCUUCUUUGUCUUCAUCGGUUGCUACAAAACCUAAAGCAGAUCAAAACCAGAAGAACAACAAUUCCAAUCGAACCACCACCAAAGCUUCUUCGCUCGGCUCCAUGACCGUCGAUGGCCUACUUCGCAAUGUCUACGACGCAAAUCCCACCACCGAAUCCACCCUCCUCGACGCCCAAAUCACGCUCAUCGACACCCCUCCCAUUGCCACUGCCGCUGCCGGCGCCGGCGAUAUGAAUUCCGGUGGUUCUGUUAGCUCCUCCAAUGGUCCUAAAACGGUCGACGACGUGUGGAGGGAGAUUGUGUCAGGCGACAGGAAGGGGUGUAAAGAAGAGGCUCCGGACGAGAUGAUGACUCUGGAGGAUUUCUUGGCGAGGGCUGGAGCCGUGGAGGAGGACGAUGUGAAAUCGCUGCCACCUCCGGCUACGGAGCGAUUGAGUGGUGGGCUCUUCUCGUUUGAUUCAAUCCCACCGAGCCCAUUACAGGCCCUGGAUAAGGUCGAUGGUUCGAUUAUUGGGUUUGGAAAUGGGGUUGAGGUGAUUGGAGGAGGAGGAACAGGAACAGGAACCGCAGGAGGUGUGAGGGGGAAGAGAGGGCGAGCCGUUUUGGAGCCAUUGGAUAAGGCUGCGCAGCAGAGACAGAGGCGAAUGAUUAAGAACAGAGAAUCUGCGGCCAGGUCAAGGGAAAGGAAGCAGGCGUAUCAAGUUGAGUUGGAGUCGUUGGCAGUGAGACUUGAGGAGGAAAACGAGCGGCUGAUGAAAGAGAAGUCAUGCUUUUAGCCAUGUGGACACGGAGACAAAUGUCAUGUUUUGACAUAGGCUCGAGGUGUUGCAGACAGCUACUAGUAAAGUUCUAGACAUGGUGACACAGAUUUAUGCUGAGAGAACUAAGGAAAGAUUUAAGCAGUUAAUGGAGAAAAUUAUUCCAGUAGAGGAGAAGCGAAGGGCACCACGUGUUCUUCGGAGGGUUCAUUCCUUCGAGUGGUAGUAGUAUAUACUUGGUUACAACAUGGAAAUGGUAUUUCAGAUGCAGGAAGAAAAAAGAAACAAACAGCAUUCUUGUUGGAACCAGAUCUUCUAGAAUGAAAUUUCUAUAUAAUUAUUGCUGAGAGAUGGGGUUUUUGAUAUAAAGAAGAGAAAGGGAACGCAACCUUAAAUAUGAAGGAAAAUUCCUUGUUUACUGAACAAAAGGAGACUUCCAUCAACAAGAUAAAAGAGGUAAAUCUUAUGUUAGAUGCUUGUAGUUAAAUUAAUAGGUUCUGCAAUGAAACCUCCAUUCCCCAAUUGUUGAUGAGAGGGGAAGAUGAGGAUCAAAGAUUAGUAUUUUUAUGGUUUGAUAGUUAUUACAGAUUUUUUUAUUUUAUUUUUUUUAAGUAAAACAUGAGAUCCAAGGCUAGUCUUAUGUUCAUAUUCAAAGCGAUAUUGUUAAUAUUAAUGUGAUUAUCCGGUUAGAAAAUGUGCAUUUUCUUUUUCUUUUC